UCGGCCCCUAAGGCGAGGCAGAAAUGCGUAGUCGAUGGGAAGCAUGUUAAUAUUCCUGCACCGACGUGUAAUGCGAUGGGGGGACGGAUCGUGGAAAGUGGUCCAGGUGUUGGAUAUCCUGGUCCCUGCAUCAUAGAGGACAGUUAGGCAAAUCCGGCUGUCAUAUACUCAAGGGUGUGGGGGGAAGUAGCUACGGCUACGAACCCAUUGGAAGUGGUCCCAAGAAAAGCCUCUAAGCUUCAGUUACACGUUGACCGUACCGCAAACCGACACAGGUGGGCGAGAUGAGUAUUCUAAGGCGCUUGAGAGAACUCAGGAGAAGGAACUCGGCAAAUUGGUACCGUAACUUCGGGAGAAGGUACGCCCUUGUAGCUUGACCAUGAACAAUGGAAGGGUGAAGGGGUUGCAAUAAAAUGGUGGCUGCGACUGUUUAAUAAAAACACAGCUCUCUGCAAACACGAAAGUGGACGUAUAGGGUGUGACGCCUGCCCGGUGCUGGAAGAUUAAAUGAUGGGGUGCAAGCUCUUGAUUGAAGUCCCAGUAAACGGCGGCCGUAACUAUAACGGUCCUAAGGUAGCGAAAUUCCUUGUCGGGUAAGUUCCGACCUGCAUGAAUGGUAUAACGACUUCUUUACUGUCUCCAGCAUAAUCUUGGUGAAUUUGAAAUGCCCGUGAAGAUGCGGGCUAUUUGCGGCUAGACGGAAAGACCCCGUGCACCUUUACUAUGAUUUUAAGUUGUAAAAUUAGAUUUUACGUGUAGCAUAGGUGGGAGCUUGUAGCACUAGUGAAAUACCACCCUUAGUGUUUAAUUUUACUUAAUUUAUUUUUAAAGACAGCUUAUGAAAGUUAGUUUGACUGGGGCGGUCGCCUCCUAAAAAGUAACGGAGGUGUGCAAAGGCGAAUUCAAAUAAUAAUUUAUUGUAGAGUGUAAUGGCAUAUAUUCGCUUGACUGUGAGAUUGACAAAUCAAGCAGGGAUGUAAAGUCGGCCAUAGUGAUCCGGUGGUUCUGUGUGGAAAGAUCAUCGCUCAACGAAUAAAAGGUACGCCGGGGAUAACAGGCUGAUGGUUUCUAAGAGUCCUUAUCGACGAGACCGUUUGGCACCUCGAUGUCGAUUCCUCACAUCCUGGAGCUGAAUUCGGUUCCAAGGGUUCGGCUGUUCGCCGAUUAAAGUGGGACGUGAAUUGGGUUUAGAACGUCGUGAGACAGUUCGGUCCCUAUCUACCGCGAAAGCAGAAAAUUGAAAGGAUUAAAUUUUAGUACGAGAGGACCAAAUUACGUGAACCUAUGGUGUAUCGGUUAUUUUAUCUAAAGUAUUGCCGAGUAGCUACGUUCAUUAGAGAUAACUGCUGAAUGCAUAUAAGCGGGAAACUUUCCUUAAUACAAAUUUUUUUAAGCUCGUAAAAGAUUAUUACGUCGAUAGGUUUUGAAUGUAAGUACUGCGAGGUAUUCAGUUUAAAAAUACUAAUGAAAUCUCCAUUAUUUUAC
rnacentral:rRNA from 1 species